rnacentral:rRNA from 1 species
ACACGACUACAUUAGAUACCCGUGUAGUCCUAGCCGUAAACGAUACUCGCUAGGUGUCGGCCACGGUGCGACCGUUGUCGGUGCCGUAGGGAAGCCGUGAAGCGAGCCACCUGGGAAGUACGGCCGCAAGGCUGAAACUUAAAGGAAUUGGCGGGGGAGCACAACAACGGGUGGAGCUUGCGGUUUAAUUGGAUUCAACGCCGGAAAUCUUACCGGGACCGACAGCAACAUGAAGGCUAAGCUGAAGACUUUGCCGGAUUAGCUG